rnacentral:lncRNA from 1 species
AACGAGCAAUUUUAUAAAAUAAAUUUGUCGUAAUCUUUUACGGUUGCGAAGGAGUUGGGGACACAGGGAAAACAGUGUUUGGGGAGAUAACUCCUACAAAGAAAAGUAUUCAGUUACGCAGGGUAAAUUUCAAAAGCGCAUAAACUGUUCAAUAUCAUAUACCAAAUAUCUAAGCGACAUAUUGCGAAACAAAUAUUUAUCGCAAGAACAAAAUUAGGCGGAGGAAAAAAAAAUAAUCAGAAGAA